rnacentral:rRNA from 1 species
UAUGACCAUAUCAAGUUGAAACACCGAUUCUUGUAAGAUCACCGAAGUUAAGCAACGUCGAGCCUGGUCAGUACUUAGAUGGGUGACUGCUUGGAAAUACCAGAUGCUGUAA